GCACCUGGGCCCGCUGACAGCUUCACGCCCACCGCUGCCUAUAAACACGCGGGGAUUGGCUCUCCUGCCCGUCCGUCAGAACGUGCGCCGCGCUCUUACUGGCUAGCUCUCUUAUUUAUAACCCGCCCUCAAGGGCUGGCCAAUGAGAGCGUAGCGCCCUUAGCAACGCCCCUCUCUCUUUCCUGCCGCUGGCUCCUGCGAUCGUCCUGGGAGUUGUUGUCCCUGCUCCCGUUGGUCGAGGUACCUGCCACUCAAGCGCUCCUUAGCCAAUUAGAAAAGAGCACUCACGUGGAUUACCUGCGAACCCCUCCGCGCCUGCCUUCCCCUCCUCCAUUGGCCACACCCCGCCGUCCAUCAACCCUCUCCGCGCUCCGAUUGGCUACGGGGGAGGGCGGCGGGUGUCGGGGUGCCGCCCCUCCUCCGGGGGCGGCUCAGUGGUGGUGGCGGCGGCGGCGGAGGCGGACGCAGAGGGAGGAGCCGCGACGCUCCGCGGCCCCCGCGCCCCGCAGCCGGGCUCGCUCCUCACAUGGGGCCCCCUCGCCUCCCCUCGGCGGGCCGCUGAGGAGCCGGGCAGGCCGCCAUGACAGCCCCCGCCGGCCGCAGGCCCCGCUGGCGCCGCCGCCGCUGCUCAGGCAAAGAGAAUAUAUUAAGGUGGUCUGUUUGAAGCAGCAGCUGUGUGUGAUGGUUUGACCCUGCGACUACGCUGCCCGUGCGUUGGUGUGACUGCAGCCAGGCGAGGAGACAAACAGAUUUUUGCAAGGCCCGUCUGUACAGGUUCACUUUUGUUUUGUAUUUGGACUCGAGAAGCUGUUGGCAAUUCCUUACUGUGGGCAUAAGGAUCGAGUGUUUUUUUUUGUUGUUGUUUGUGUAUUUUCCAAUUAUCUGCCUUCUCAGUGUGUGCCAGGCUUUAUGCCCGUGCUUUAUACGAGUAUUUUUAAAUCUAUGGCGUUGGUCUCGAAGCCCAGGCUUUGCAGUAAGUUAACGUCUAGUCUCUUUCUGGUUUCAAACUUGGCUGCAGUCACAAAAUAAAUGAACUGUUUGUUUCA
rnacentral:lncRNA from 1 species